UACGUAGGUGGCAAGCGUUGUUCGGAUUCAUUGGGCGUAAAGGGUGCGUAGGCGGCGCGGUAAGUCGGGUGUGAAAUCUUGGAGCUUAACUCCGAAACUGCAUUCGAUACUGCCGUGCUUGAGGACUGGAGAGGAGACUGGAAUUUACGGUGUAGCGGUGAAAUGCGUAGAUAUCUGGAGGAAUACCGGUGGCGAAGGCGGCAUCCUGGACCGACAUUGACGCUGAUGAGCGAAAGCUAGGGGAGCAAACGGG
rnacentral:rRNA from 1 species